GCGCCCCCCGGCGGGCGGAGCCCGGCGCCGCGGCCAGGAUUUCCCACCUCGCUCCCGCGACUCCGCUGCGGGUCUGCACACCCGAGGACUCGGGGUACUUAACCGAAACUAGCAAUCCCAGGCGGUACAAGGCCCUCCAUCGUAGGCAAAGCACUACCUGAAUGUAGAUUUGGGCCAUACGUUGGAAAAUAAGACAUGAGAGUAUGCUCCGAUCAACUUUUACUGUUCACUGGACAACUAUUUUGGGAAUUUGCAGACCUAUAAAGCCCAUCUAUAAAUCUCAAGCAUGUCCACUUUCAGAGAAGAGAAAUGCUGACAACCAUUUAGUCUCUGAGGACAACACUUUUAAAGUGUAACAAUGUGGCAUCCAGAGCUUAUCCAGAUGAGCGGAGAGCAAAUGAAUUUCCUUCUGCUCCCCUGUUGAAGAGGAGAGAAAAAUUCUUCAAGCUUUAUACAGGACUCCAUCAUAGGACUGGAGAGAGAUUGGAUGUCAGAGUGAUUGAUGUGCUCCUACUGGAAGAAGGCAAACAUCCAUAUGUGAACUGCCUGUGGGGUUUCCAAGGAAAGGAACGGCAGGCAGCCUCUAUGAGCUUAAAGAAGAUAACUGGGACUUUAGUCCUAUAACCUCAAGGAACAGUAUUCUGUGAACCAUCUGAGAAGCUUGGAAGAGGACCCCAAACUCCAAAUAAGAAGCUCAGUGUGUCUGACACCUUGACUGCAGGCUUGGGAGGUCCUGAGCAGAAGAUCCAGUUCAACAGUGCCUGGACUCCUGAUCCACAAAAACUGAUAACAAAUAUUUAUUGUUUUAAGAUGCUAAGUUUGUAGUCAUUUUUUAUACAGCAACAGAAAACUAAACACACACAUAAACAGUUAUAAGUGCUCACUGUAUAUGAGGCUUUUCAUUAAUAAUCUAUAUUUUAUAAUAGAAUUAGAAUAUAGAUCUGUGAAGCUGAAGACACUCAAUCCUUGCUAGAUUUAAAUCAGGAAAAUCAGCUGAGAAUCAUUCCUUGAUAGAACCUGGAAAACAAGACCCUAUGAGAGACCCUGGGAAUUACAUUAAAUUCACUGUGGUUCCCAGUGUCACUGAAGAGGUUUUCCUUUCAUAGUCAGGUAGUCACCAUACUGUUAAGCAUUUGAACACAUGGGCAACUUCCAGAAUAGUUAUGACAUUGAUAUACCAAUCUCCAAAAUUCCUAGAAUACCAUGUUUUCAUGGUUGACCUUCAAAUCAGUCAGUUCUUUGUAACAUUGAGCCAUAAAGAUAGGGCAAAUACUUAAUGUUUUACAUAUAUUCAGAGAUUGACCCUCAAAAUACAGCCCAGAGAAACUCAAAAGAAUUAACUCUAUUUCUUCAAAUUGUGUGACGCCACCAAGGCCAGAUGACUUCAGCAUUGGGAAGGCAAUAUCCAGCUGUCAUCUUCUUGAUCCUCAUAUGCUACUACUAGCAUCUAGCAUUUACUGAGCAGAUAGUUUUAUUGUCCAGUUUUUAAAGAUAAGAAAAUUGAGGUAUUAGGAAAGUUAAGUUGGUUGCCUAGGGAAACACGAAGAUAUAGCCCAGAUUCACUCCCAGGCAGGCAGAUGCCAGUGUCUGCUCUCUUUACCACCGAAAUAUCCUGCUACAUGUACAAUUUCAAUAAAUAUCUGGACUUACUGGAACAAAACAAAUCAACAACAUUCUUAUUUUCUUUCUUCAGUUUAGAUUAAAUAAUUUAAAUGUCUUCUUAAGAAGCUACAGUUUUUUGAGGCACAGAGGGA
rnacentral:lncRNA from 1 species